UACGUAGGGGGCAAGCGUUGUCCGGAAUCAUUGGGCGUAAAGCGCGUGUAGGCGGUCCGGUCAGUCGGUUGUGAAAGUCAAGGGCUCAACCCUUGAAUGCCGGCCGAUACUGCCGGGCUAGAGGGUGGUAGAGGCGAGUGGAAUUCCCGGUGUAGCGGUGAAAUGCGCAGAUAUCGGGAGGAACACCAGUAGCGAAGGCGGCUCGCUGGGCCAUUCCUGACGCUGAGACGCGAAAGCUAGGGGAGCGAACAGG
rnacentral:rRNA from 1 species